rnacentral:rRNA from 1 species
CGGCGGACGGGUGAGUAACGCGUGGAUAACCUGCCUCAUACAGGGGGAUAACAGUUAGAAAUGACUGCUAAUACCGCAUAAGCGCACAAGACCGCAUGGUCCGGUGUGAAAAACUCCGGUGGUAUGGGAUGGAUCCGCGUCUGAUUAGCUGGUUGGUGAGGUAACGGCCCACCAAGGCGACGAUCAGUAGCCGACCUGAGAGGGUGGCCGGCCACAUUGGGACUGAGACACGGCCCAAACUCCUACGGAAGGCAGCAG